UACCUUGUUCAAGAGGUUUAGUAUGGGUGAAAUACUGAGGGGAGAGGAGUGAUGGAUCCUUUUUUCUUAAACUUGUUCUCUUCAUUUGCCAGACAGAGAGGAAGAAGAAAACGGAAAUGUAUAUGGUAAAGGAGUAAUUUAAUUAAGUUAUCACCUUGCACUUUGUCCUGGCUGCAGUAAAUGAAGAUGGAGGUAGCAGAAGUUCCUUGCUUACAGCACAGGACAGUGUGGAGGUGUUUCCUGAAGUACCUGAAGGCUUUGUGAUUGAAACAGAAGACUGAUGUUGGGUGGAAGGAUGUAAAACAGAGGGGGGCAGAGAAAGGACUGGAAUAGAUGCUGCAGAGGAAGGAUGCCAGAAAGGAGGUGGAGAGGAUAGCCAAGGAUAAGGUUUAUGUAUGCAGUGAGGGUUGAAAUAGGUGGUAGGGGUGACAGAGGAGGAUGUUCACCACAGGGCAAGAUUGAGACAAAUAAUCCGCUGUAGCAACCAGGAGCAGCUGAAAAACGAGGAAGAGGGCAACUCCAUGUUAGUGUCAAUGGUUUUGAAAUGGAAUUUCCAACUAGCUCAUGGUCAGUGUCUGUCGUGCUUGGAGUGUUGCAGCAAGUCUUUGGCUGGAGAGCAUAACAGGUCAUCAGGCCUUCGAGGUUGCAGUCUAGACGCUCGAACCAGCAACCUACAAGUUUAAACAGACAGCCAUCAAAAAGCUGCAAAAUACACUACUUAUUAACACUGUAAUCCAAAAAAAUCAUAAAAAAGUUAUUAUUUGUAACAA